GGUCAAGUGAAGAAGCGCAUACGGUGGAUGCCUUGGCAGUCAGAGGCGAUGAAAGACGUGGUAGCCUGCGAUAAGCUUUGGGGAGUCGGCAAACAGACUGUGAUCCAGAGAUCUCUGAAUGGGGGAACCCAGCCAGCAUAAGCUGGUUAUCUUGUACUGAAUACAUAGGUGCAAGAGGCGAACCAGGGGAACUGAAACAUCUAAGUACCCUGAGGAAAAGAAAUCAACCGAGAUUCCCUUAGUAGUGGCGAGCGAACGGGGACCAGCCCUUAAGUUGGUUUGAGAUUAGUGGAACGCUCUGGAAAGUGCGGCCAUAGUGGGUGAUAGCCCCGUACACGAAAAUCUCUUAUCAAUGAAAUCGAGUAGGACGGAGCACGAGAAACUUUGUCUGAAUAUGGGGGGACCAUCCUCCAAGGCUAAAUACUACUGACUGACCGAUAGUGAACCAGUACCGUGAGGGAAAGGCGAAAAGAACCCCGGAGAGGGGAGUGAAAUAGAACCUGAAACCGUAUGCGUACAAGCAGUGGGAGCCUACUUUGUUAGGUGACUGCGUACCUUUUGUAUAAUGGGUCAGCGACUUAUAUUCAGUGGCGAGCUUAACCGAAUAGGGGAGGCGUAGCGAAAGCGAGUCUUAAUAGGGCGUUUAGUCGCUGGGUAUAGACCCGAAACCGGGCGAUCUAUCCAUGGGCAGGUUGAAGGUUAGGUAACACUGACUGGAGGACCGAACCGACUACCGUUGAAAAGUUAGCGGAUGACCUGUGGAUCGGAGUGAAAGGCUAAUCAAGCUCGGAGAUAGCUGGUUCUCCUCGAAAGCUAUUUAGGUAGCGCCUCAUGUAUCACUGUAGGGGGUAGAGCACUGUUUCGGCUAGGGGGUCAUCCCGACUUACCAAACCGAUGCAAACUCCGAAUACCUACAAGUGCCGAGCAUGGGAGACACACGGCGGGUGCUAACGUCCGUCGUGAAGAGGGAAACAACCCAGACCGCCAGCUAAGGUCCCAAAGUCAUGGUUAAGUGGGAA
rnacentral:rRNA from 1 species